ACAACUUUCAUCAACGGAUCUCUUGGUUCUGGCAUCGAUGAAGAACGCAGCGAAAUGCGAUAAGUAGUGUGAAUUGCAGAAUUCAGUGAAUCAUCGAAUCUUUGAACGCACAUUGCGCCCCUUGGUAUUCCAUGGGGCAUGCCUGUUCGAGCGUCAUU
rnacentral:rRNA from 1 species